UACGUAGGGGGCGAGCGUUAUCCGGAUUUACUGGGCGUAAAGCGCGUUAAGGCGGUUGGCAAAGUUGGUGGUGAAAUCCCAGGGCUCAACCCUGGAACUGCCUCCAAUACUGGUCGACUAGAGUGUGAGAGAGGAAGGUGGAAUUCCCGGUGUAGUAGUGAAAUGCGUAGAUAUCGGGAGGAACACCAGUGGCGAAGGCGGCCUUCUGGCUCACAACUGACGCUGUAGCGCGAAAGCGUGGGGAGCGAACGGG
rnacentral:rRNA from 1 species